AUCGGCGGAGAAGCCAUAUCGGGAACUGAUAAUGGGCUUGGGCUUGGGCCCAUAGGAGUAGUUGGUUGGGCCAUUGGGCUUGAAGAUGGAGUCAUUGGCAUCAUAGGUGGUGGAGUCAUGGGCAUUGGUGGUGGAGCCAUGGGCAUAGGUGGUGGAGUCAUAGGCAUAGGUGGUGGAGCCAUAGGCAUAGGUGGUGGAGUCAUCAUUGGCAUCGGAGAGCUGCGGCCGCUAGACAUCGGCGGCAUCGACAUUGAGCCAGAAGGAGCCAUCAUGGGAGAUUGAGCUAAAGAGAAAUGAAUUAAAACCAUAGGCAAUGUGACCAAAAGGAGGGCUUGUGAAGAGGCCAUGGUUAUGUGUGUUGAAUAGUGGGUGUUAUGUAAAGUGAUAUAUAGAGAGAGGUAUGUGAGUUGUAAAAGAAUGGGAGAGAAAAGUGAAGGUUCUUUGUGCUAUUGGGGAUAUAUAUUAGAGAUUAUUUGUUUUUAUUUUUGGACCGUUGGAUAUAGUGUGUGACACGUAUCAGUCGAUAGAUAGGUAUGAGAUGCUGAUUUAUUUUCCUCCACAUGUUGAAAAAAAAAAAGAGAUAGAAGA
rnacentral:lncRNA from 1 species